rnacentral:rRNA from 1 species
CGAAGGUUAGCUAAUCCUGGUCGGACAUCAGGAGGUUAGUGCAAUGGCAUAAGCUAGCUUGACUGCGAGCGUGACGGCGCGAGCAGGUGCGAAAGCAGGUCAUAGUGAUCCGGUGGUUCUGAAUGGAAGGGCCAUCGCUCAACGGAUAAAAGGUACUCCGGGGAUAACAGGCUGAUACCGCCCAAGAGUUCAUAUCGACGGCGGUGUUUGGCACCUCGAUGUCGGCUCAUCACAUCCUGGGGCUGAAGUAGGUCCCAAGGGUAUGGCUGUUCGCCAUUUAAAGUGGUACGCGAGCUGGGUUUAGAACGUCGUGAGACAGUUCGGUCCCUAUCUGCCGUGGGCGCUGGAGAAUUGAGGGGGGCUGCUCCUAGUACGAGAGGACCGGAGUGGACGCAUCACUGGUGUUCGGGUUGUCAUGCCAAUGGCACUGCCCGGUAGCUAAAUGCGGAAGAGAUAAGUGCUGAAAGCAUCUAAGCACGAAACUUGCCCCGAGAUGAGUUCUCCCUGAGACUUUAAGUCUCCUGAAGGAACGUUAAAGACGAUGACGUUGAUAGGCCGGGUGUGUAAGCGCAGCGAUGCGUUGAGCUAACCGGUACUAAUGAACCGUGAGGCUUAACCUU